rnacentral:pre_miRNA from 1 species
AGUAGAAUUGUUAGUUGUAUGGUAACUUUGUGUUUUGCUUUUUGAGAAACCACUAAACUGUUUUCCACAGUGUUCACCAUUUUACUUUCCUAUCAGCAAU